rnacentral:hammerhead_ribozyme from 1 species
AUUCAACUGACGAGUGCCAAAUAGGACGGAAUUUGCAUCCUGGAU